CCCACACCGCUGCCAGCCCCGCGCCCCAAAUCCUCUCCGGGGAUUGGCAAGACUAGGAUAAAACUGGGCUCCAGGGUGGACGGAGAUGUUUUUCAGCGCCCGCAGUGACUCCUCGAGGAGCCUUUGGGCAGCCGGGUGGCCCUGGGGAGAUUUGGAGACUGCGCUCGGUGGAGCCCCCCACUGGUGCGACCGGAUUCCUCUGCCUUGGACUGAGCUCCAAGCUACGAAAAAAAGACAGACCUGGGUUCAUUGAACACUGAAACUAACCAAACUGCCGCUUGAAUUCUUGCACACUCACUACUUACAAACUAUGGAGUCAUUUGGCCUCUCAGCCUGUAAACCCAAUAUAUCACCCUCGGGCGCUGCCUUUUCUCUGCCUUCUAAGGCAGUUCCCUUGCGCAUGCCCUACUCUGUUUCCAGUUCCUUGGCCCUUCAAAUCGGCUACAGCCUAUUGUCAAGGAGCAUCUGGGCUCUGCUGGAGAGAUCGUCCAGACCCACCCCUGACAUUUACCAGAAGGAAUCAGGCUGGGAGCUCAAGAGAGGGGCCCGCGGUCACACCCAGUCAGCCCCAAGGAAAGUCUAGGCCAGAACUGCUGCCUUGAGGGCUCCAAUGUCAGCAGAGCUCACUCCCCUACACCCUGGUGUCAGGUGAAGCAUCACUGGAGACAGGAAUGCAGAGUGAGGUCAGAGGGUGCAGAGACUAGCUUGAGUGUCCAUCCUCUCCGCUUCACUUUCUCCGUGUGUAAAAGAGUGGUGAUAUUUAAUCUACUUACUUUAUUGCAUUAAGUGGAGAAAUAAAUGAAAUUCAAUAUCUGAAGUGUUA